rnacentral:rRNA from 1 species
AUUAGCCAUGCAUGUCUAAGUAUAAGCAAUUUAUACAGUGAAACUGCGAAUGGCUCAUUAAAUCAGUUAUCGUUUAUUUGAUAGUACCUUACUACUUGGAUAACCGUGGUAAUUCUAGAGCUAAUACAUGCUUAAAAUCCCGACUGUUUGGAAGGGAUGUAUUUAUUAGAUAAAAAAUCAAUGUCUUCGGACUCUUUGAUGAUUCAUAAUAACUUUUCGAAUCGCAUGGCCUUGUGCUGGCGAUGGUUCAUUCAAAUUUCUGCCCUAUCAACUUUCGAUGGUAGGAUAGUGGCCUACCAUGGUUUCAACGGGUAACGGGGAAUAAGGGUUCGAUUCCGGAGAGGGAGCCUGAGAAACGGCUACCACAUCCAAGGAAGGCAGCAGGCGCGCAAAUUACCCAAUCCCGACACGGGGAGGUAGUGACAAUAAAUAACGAUACAGGGCCCUUUCGGGUCUUGUAAUUGGAAUGAGUACAAUGUAAAUACCUUAACGAGGAACAAUUGGAGGGCAAGUCUGGUGCCAGCAGCCGCGGUAAUUCCAGCUCCAAAAGCGUAUAUUAAAGUUGUUGCAGUUAAAAAGCUCGUAGUUGAACCUUGGGCUUGGUUGGCCGGUCCAUCUUUCUGAUGCGUACUGGACCCAACCGAGCCUUUCCUUCUGGCUAGCCUUUUGGCGAACCAGGACUUUUACUUUGAAAAAAUUAGAGUGUUCAAAGCAGGCCUUUGCUCGAAUAUAUUAGCAUGGAAUAAUAGAAUAGGACGUUAUGGUUCUAUUUUGUUGGUUUCUAGGACCAUCGUAAUGAUCAAUAGGGACGGUCGGGGGUAUCAGUAUUCAGUUGUCAGAGGUGAAAUUCUUGGAUUUACUGAAGACUAACUACUGCGAAAGCAUUUACCAAGGACGUUUUCAUUAAUCAAGAACGAAAGUUAGGGGAUCGAAGGAUGAUCAGAUACCGUCGUAGUCUUAACCAUAAACUAUGCCGACUAGGGAUCGGGUUGUUGUUCUUUUUAUUGACGCAAUCGGCACCUUACGGAGAAAUCAAAGUCUUUGGGGUUCUGGGGGAGUUAUGUCGCAGCUGAAACUUAAGGAUUGACGAAGGGCACCCACCAAGAGUGGAGCCUUGCGGCUUAAUUUGAC